rnacentral:rRNA from 1 species
CCCUUAGAUGUUCUGGGCCGCACGCGCGCUACACUGACGAAGUCAGCGAGCAUGUCCUACGCCGACAGGUGCGGGGAAUCUUGUCAAACUUCGUCGUGAUGGGGAUUGAUUACUGAAAUUCUUGAUCAUCAACGAGGAAUUCCUAGUAAGCGCAAGUCAGCAGCUUGCGUUGAUUACGUCCCUGCCCUUUGUACACACCGCCCGUCGCUACUACCGAUUGAAUGGUUUAGUGAGAUCUUCGGAUUGGCGCCACUGCGGCUCAGCAAUGGGCUCGGUGGAUGCCGAAAAGUUGAUCAAACUUGAUCAUUUAGAGGAAGUAAAAGUCGUAACA